rnacentral:rRNA from 1 species
GACAGCAGUCGCCGCGGUAAUACAGAGGGUGCGAGCGUUAAUCGGAUUUACUGGGCGUAAAGCGUGCGUAGGCGGCUUUUUAAGUCGGAUGUGAAAUCCCUGAGCUUAACUUAGGAAUUGCAUUCGAUACUGGGAAGCUAGAGUAUGGGAGAGGAUGGUAGAAUUCCAGGUGUAGCGGUGAAAUGCGUAGAGAUCUGGAGGAAUACCGAUGGCGAAGGCAGCCAUCUGGCCUAAUACUGACGCUGAGGUACGAAAGCAUGGGGAGCAAACAGGAUUAGAUACCCGUGUAGUCCCUGUCUCUUAUAA